rnacentral:tRNA from 1 species
GGGGAUUUAGCUCAGUGGUAUAGCACUUGCCUUGCAAGCAGGCGGUCAUGAGUUCGAUCCCUG